rnacentral:sRNA from 1 species
UCGUCUUGCAUUGGAAGACAGUGAUUGAAACAAUCUUGUAUCUUUUCAGGAAAUAUUGAAAAUGGACACGUGAAGCUCAUUGUUAUACAUUUAAGAAAUAACAGAGAACACCUACCUCUUAUUGGAAAAGUUGGCCUCUCGUGGAAAACUGAUAUUUUUGAUGGCUGUAUAAAGAGUUGUUCCAUGAUGGACAUAACUCUUUUGGAUGAACAUGGGAAACCCUUUUGGUGUUUCAGUUCCCCGGUGUGCAUGAGAUCGCCUGCCACACCCUCUGACAGCCCUAGCUUCUUGGGACAGACAUACAACGUGGACUACGUUGAUGCGGAAGGAAGAGUGCACGUGGAGCUGGUGUGGAUCAGAGAAACCGAAGAAUACCUUAUUGUCAACCUGGUCCUUUACCUUAGUAUCGCAAAAAUCAACCAUUGGUUUGGGACUGAGUAUUAGCAGUAGGUGGCAAAUUAUUGUUGUUAUUUAGUUGUUUAUUUUUGACUGGCUUUGUUCUUGGUGUUGAAAGUUAAAAUAAAGCAAAUCUGCAG